rnacentral:tmRNA from 1 species
GGGGCUGAUUCUGGAUUCGACGGGAUUUGCGAAACCCAAGGUGCAUGCCGAGGGGCGGUUGGCCUCGUAAAAAGCCGCAAAAAAAUAGUCGCAAACGACGAAACCUACGCUUUAGCAGCUUAAUAACCUGCUUAGAGCCCUCUCUCCCUAGCCUCCGCUCUUAGGACGGGGAUCAAGAGAGGUCAAACCCAAAAGAGAUCGCGCGGAUGCCCUGCCUGGGGUUGAAGCGUUAAAACGAAUCAGGCUAGUCUGGUAGUGGCGUGUCCGCCCGCCGGUGCCAGGCGAAUGUAAAGACUGACCAAGCAUGUAGUACCGAGGAUGUAGGAAUUUCGGACGCGGGUUCAACUCCCGCCAGCUCCACCA